CUCUCUCCUUUCCCCACUUCUCAGCCUCCUCUCCUCCCGUGGCCGUCGUCCAGCCGCCGCCGCCACACUUCUUCGCCCGCCAGCCAUCCUCCUCGCCCGCAGCCACCGCCCGCCGCCCUCGCCGACCAUCCUUCCCGUCGGCCGCCGCUCCACCCACUCGACGGCGCUGUGAAGGAAGCGACAAGAGAGGGAGGGCAUCGCCGGCGUCGGACGAGCUCGCGCAUCGCCAUCAUCGGGAGGCGAGGGCGCUGCUGCUGCUCCGCUCGGUUGAGUGCGUCGUCGCGCCAUCAAAGGGAGGACCGCCAGGCGCCCACGACGAGCGCGAGGAGAUUAUUAGCUCGAUGAGGCUCGUGUUGGGCUUGGACGUUUCGACCGGGUGACGGCGCACGAGCGGACAUGAGCGGUGCCUCCGGCGGCAAGUCCGACGACGAUGAAGGCCUUCCCUCAGAUUGCAACUGAACCCCUGCUUAUCUUGCGGCCGCCGUGCCCUUGCCACACUGGUCCUAACCAAGGCUUCUGCCGCUCCUCGACACUCAGCAGGUCUCACUUGCGUUCCAGGUUUGCUUCCUCUUGGAAGACAUGGGUGAAUCUGAGGAUGGAAUGCAAGCUCCAUUUUGCUUCUCAACACUCAGGCUCCCCCCUCUCUCUUUCUCUCUGAUCCAUGUUUUCUAUGUCUUAACAUACAUGUCUUUGCGUGUGCGUGCAGCAGCUCGGCAGAGACAAAAGAGGAGGUCACCGGGAAGAUCAAAGGAGGAUGGAUGAGUGCAUCACUACAGUACUGCCCUGUUUCUCCUUGUUGGCAGCGCUGACUCGAUUUCAUACGAAAGGAGGAUGAGUGCAUCACUACACUUUUUCGUAGGUACUUCAUGGCAGUGUUGUGGACAACAUCACCAUAACCACAUUGAUGGUCCAAGCCCCAGCUCACAACAUCCUUUUUAGUUGGGCUGUGAGCACCUCACACUAGUAGAAAAGGGGCCAAUGGUCUAGGCCGGUCCAGCCCAUUAGUCCCGGUUCAACCCAGAACCGGGACCAAUGGGGGCAUUGGACCCGGUUCGUGAGCCCCGGGGGCCGGACGGGCCACGUGGGCCAUUGGUCCCGGUUCGUCUGGACCUUUUGGUCCUGGUUGGUGGGACGAAUCGGGACCAAUGGUCCUCGCUCCUGGCCCACCAGCAUUG